rnacentral:rRNA from 1 species
AACGAACGCUGGCGGCAUGCCUAACACAUGCAAGUCGAACGAGACCUUCGGGUCUAGUGGCGCACGGGUGCGUAACGCGUGGGAACCUGCCCUUAGGUUCGGAAUAACUCCCCGAAAGGGGUGCUAAUACCGGAUAAUGUCUUCGGACCAAAGAUUUAUCGCCUUUGGAUGGGCCCGCGUUGGAUUAGCUAGUUGGUAGGGUAAAAGCCUACCAAGGCGACGAUCCAUAGCUGGUCUGAGAGGAUGAUCAGCCACACUGGGACUGAGACACGGCCCAGACUCGGACGGGGGGUAACAGGGGGGAAUAGUGCGCAAUGGGCGGAAGGCUGAUUAAGCAACGCCGCGUGCGGGAUAACGGCCUGCCGGUUGUAAACCAAUUUCCCCUGUGACGAAGCGUGAGUGACGGGAAUGGGUAAAGAAGCACCGGCUAACUACGGG